UUCUAACAUAUAUGUGAAUGAGUCAUUACUAGAGUUGCAUUUCUGAUAUAGAAAAUAAGCUAUGAGAAGAUCUUAAAUAAAUUCAUAUUCGUGCUCUUUGUUUCUUCAUGUGUGUUAAAAUCACGCCUGACAUCAUAUCACCUGGUAUGCUAAGGAUUCUAAACAGGGGGAAGGAAGAAGCUAUUAAUAUUUAGCUGUUAAUCUAAAAGUAGUGAUCACUCAACAACUUUGAACACUUCUCUAUGGCUACGAAUUAAUACGUCAUUACCAAUAAAAUGUCAAUUUUGUGCCAUUUUUUUAUUUAAAAGAUAUUUGAGCAUUUUUCAAACUCAUUAGUAAUGUCAAAACAUAUGUAUUUAUGCAAGAGAGUUAUCUUCUUCAACAAUUAAGAAAGAAAGAUUUUAGAAUAAUUGACGCUCACUGCUCACUUUUUUCACAUCACUAUUCAUAGGUGGAAAAUAAAAGUGCUUAAAUAUUUUUUAUAACUUUUUUUCUCAAUCAGAAAAGCAAAUCUAGUCAUUAUACUUCAAAUUACCUCAAACAGAAACGUAUCAGAUUCGAGAUAUGGGAUAAACAUAAAAAUGUAACAAUUGUCCUAAUUAAUGAUCCAAUUAGCGAAAAUAAGUACACACAUAAUUAAUCUCUUUUUUUCCUUAUUAUUGCACUUCACUUCAUAGAAUAUGUUUGACAAUUUUAAAGUUGCUACACAAUAAUAAUAAUAAUAAAAAGGAAGAUCAUAUGCGUCCACAAUAUGUACAGGAGCACUUAAAUGAAGUAAUAUUAAGUGUUGAUGAUUUCAAACUAGUAAAAAUAAAAUGUAAUUAAAUACAUAUGUAUAUGUGAAAUUCUUUUUUUUUUCGAGGAAAAGUUCUCAAAUUCUAUAACUAAACAAAAAAUUUACCUUUUCAAAAAUCUUUGAUGAUCUAAAAGUAGAUGAAUGUGUUAGCACAUAUCACUCUAACUAUGAAUCUGUUAUUAGUUGUUUUUUUUAAAAUAUCAAAUCAGUUUUUUCAUACACCAGAGAUUAAUAGAUUAAAAUUUCGGAACCAUGAAGGGCAUCGUUAAAGAACUAGUUUAUUUUAAUCCUCUUCUACAAGUGAAGGCAGCAAUAUGUAAUUAAUGGCAAAAUUAUUAAAUUGUAUUUACGAAGGUAAAAAUGGUUUUUGCUUUGCCUUCACAAUGUCAAACUGCAUAUGUAAUCAAAUCUGCUGAACAUAAAAUCGAAAAUAUAUUUUAUCUCAAUCGAAAAUCUUUAUAGCAAAUGUAAUUCAUCGGAUAAAAAAUAUCAUGAAACCUAACAUAUAAUAUAGAAAAAAAGAACACCGAUAAAUGAACAAUAAAUUCCACGAAAUGGGAUUAGAAAUAUUUCUAUAAGAGAUCAAUUAGAAAACAAAAGAUAAGUAAAAUAAUAUCCUCUGUUAAUUAAGCUCUUAUUUCUUCGAUAGCAAGAAGAAUAAUUGAAACAUAACUUUGAUUGAAACUGCCUAUGACAGAAUAAUCGUAUCUAGGCCAAAAGAGUUCUCAAAUAUUUACACAAUGACAUUUACAAUUUCAAGACAUUAAAAUAAUGUAAUUACUUGAUUUUAGCCUUGCGAAUAACAUAGUACAUUCAACAAAAUAAACUGCUAAACAAUAUCAGAAAAACAAAAAAAUUAUAAAUACAUAAAAGGGAGUGGUAUAUUUAUGGUUAAUCAUCCAAAAAAUAUUUCUUACAAAAUAUCAUCUUAUUUCUACAACUGUAUAAUGUAAAUUCUGAGGACUCCGAUAAUGGAGCCAACAAAAUCUGUGGUUACUUUAUAUUCAUGGGUUUUUCAGACUUGGUUGCUUCAAUAUACAUCAGAUCCUCUGAUGGAGGAGUCAUACGAAAAUUAAUUCACUCCCAUAACGUAAUUAUUUCAGAUGCACUUGAUUCAACGAAAUGUAACAC
rnacentral:lncRNA from 1 species